CAUAAUCAUUUGUCCACUAAUUAUGGACUAGUAUGAAAGGCAAAAUGAGGGUUUAACUGUCUCUUAUAGUAAGUCAAUUAAACUGAUCUACCAGUAAAAAAGCUGGAAUAAAUACACAAGACCAGAAGACCCUGUGAAGCUUAAACUAAACUAUUAAACCAUAUAAUAACUACUUUCGGUUGGGGCGACCUUGGAAAAAAAAGAACUUCCAAACUAGUGAUAAUCAAUCACCCCUAGGCCAACAAGCCACAUAUGACCCAGCACACCUGAUAAUUGAACCAAGUUACUCCAGGGAUAACAGCGCCAUCUUCUUCAAGAGUCCAUAUCAAAAAGAAGGUUUACGACCUCGAUGUUGGAUCAGGACAUCCUAA
rnacentral:rRNA from 1 species